CGCUGGCGGCGUGCUUAACACAUGCAAGUCGUGCGAGAAAGGGGGGGCAACUCCCUGAGUAAAGCGGCGGACGGGUGAGUAACACGUGGGUAAUCUACCUGGAUGUGGGGGAUACCUCGCCGAAAGGCGAGCUAAUACCGCAGACAGAUCGUCGGGACCACGGUCCUGGCGCUCAAAGCGGGGUCGCAAGACCUCGCGCUUCCAGAGGAGCCCGCGCCCGAUUAGCUAGUUGGUGAGGUAACGGCUCACCAAGGCAACGAUCGGUAGCCGGCCUGAGAGGGUGAUCGGCCACACUGGAACUGAGACACGGUCCAGACUCCUACGGGAGGCAGCAGUGGGGAAUCUUGCGCAAUGGGCGAAAGCCUGACGCAGCAACGCCGCGUGGAGGAUGAAGGUCUUUGGAUUGUAAACUCCUGUCGAGUGGGAAGAACGGCUCGGGCGCUAAUAUCGCCCGGGAUUGACUGUACCACCAGAGGAAGCCCCGGCUAACUCCGUGCCAGCAGCCGCGGUAAUACGGAGGGGGCAAGCGUUAUUCGGAAUUAUUGGGCGUAAAGGGCGCGUAGGCGGCCCUGUAAGUCGAAGGUGAAAUCCCCGAGCUCAACUUGGGAACUGCCUUCGAUACUGCGGGGCUUGAGUCCGGGAGGGGAGAGUGGAAUUCCCAGUGUAGCGGUGAAAUGCGUAGAUAUUGGGAGGAACACCGGUGGCGAAGGCGGCUCUCUGGACCGGUUCUGACGCUGAGGCGCGAAAGCGUGGGUAGCAAACAGGAUUAGAUACCCUGGUAGUCCACGCCGUAAACGAUGGGUACUCGGUGCAGGGGGUAUCGACCCCUCCUGUGCCAAAGCUAACGCAUUAAGUACCCCGCCUGGGGAGUACGGUCGCAAGGCUGAA
rnacentral:rRNA from 1 species